AUUCCAGCUCCAAUAGCGUAUAUUUAAGUUGCUGCAGUUAAAAAGCUCGUAGUUGGAUUUCGGGCGGUUGACGACGGUCCGCCUCUGGUGUGCACUGCCGUUCUUCCGCCUUUCUGUCGGGGACGUGCUCCUAGGCUUCAUUGUCUGGGACACGGGUUCGACGUGGUUACUUUGAGUAAAUUAGAGUGUUCAAAGCAGGCAUCGCCUUGAAUAUAUUAGCAUGGAAUAGCACGAUAGGACUCUGGCCUAUUUUGCUGGUCUGUGGGACCGGAGUAAUGAUUAAUAGGGAUAGUCGGGGGCAUUCGUAUUCAAACGACAGAGGUGAAAUUCUUGGACCGUUUGAAGACGAACUAAGGCGAAAGCAUUUGCCAAGAAUGUUUUCAUCA
rnacentral:rRNA from 1 species